GCCUUUGGCUUUGACGAUUUUGACAGUCGGGGCACGCUUGCGUCACGCAAGCGUGCCCCGACUGUCAAAAUCGUCAAAGCCAAAGCUGUGCCUCACUCGUGGGCUUUCGCAAUAAGAUUUUGAAGGGUCUGGGCGUAUACAGACAAGAAGCAAGCAGCAAACGAGAGACUGGAAUGGAAGCCGCAAACAAGAAAGUUGCUGCAGCCCAUAUAGGGCUCCAGUGAUGAACAUGGCUGCCCAGGAAAACAUAUCUUUGUGUUGAAGCCGGUCUGUGCAUAUUUUAAUGAAGACUAUGAGGUCUGCACCUCGUUCCACACUGGUCAUCACUACUACACUUCUCAGGCAUUGUUCUUCCCUUGGACAAUGACAAAACGCUAUCUGCAAGGAGCAUGGAGAAAGGAUUGGCGCUUCAGCUCGGAGUGUAUUUCAACUACGAUGUGCAGUGCCUGCCACCAACGUUUGUUACGUUACAAUCCAUGCAAUGAUACCGAAAAACCUGCUGCUGCUCUAGGCGACGUGGUGUUAUUGGCAAACUUGGUUGUGAUACAUUGACUUGUGGACAGCUAGCUAUUUUGGACACAUCAGCACUGAAAGAGGAACAAAGCACCCCAAUGGUAAUCAAGCUUAAGUAGCAUACCUGUUUGCGUUCUAUCACUCAUCUGCGAACUGGGGUAAAGUUGAAAGUUCCCAAAAUGUCAUACUUUUGACCGUUAACCAUUGUGCUUUUGAGGCCCUAUUUGAGCCAUUCCAAGCUGCUGUGCUGGAGAAAGCUACUGCACUGUACAUUUCAGUGAAUAUAUUGCUUUAUGAACACAUAA